CCUACGGGAGGCAGCAGUGGGGAAUCUUAGACAAUGGGCGCAAGCCUGAUCUAGCCAUGCCGCGUGAUCGAUGACGGCCUUAGGGUUGUAAAGAUCUUUCGACGGGGACGAUAAUGACGGUACCCGUAGAAGAAGCUCCGGCUAACUUCGUGCCAGCAGCCGCGGUAAUACGAAGGGAGCUAGCGUUGUUCGGAAUUACUGGGCGUAAAGCGCGCGUAGGCGGACUGGAAAGUUGGGGGUGAAAUCCCGGGGCUCAACCCCGGAACUGCCUCCAAAACUCCUGGUCUGGAGUUCGAGAGAGGUGAGUGGAAUUCCGAGUGUAGAGGUGAAAUUCGUAGAUAUUCGGAGGAACACCAGUGGCGAAGGCGGCUCACUGGCUCGAUACUGACGCUGAGGUGCGAAAGCGUGGGGAGCAAACAGGAUUAGAUACCCCAGUAGUC
rnacentral:rRNA from 1 species